UGGGGAAUUUUGGGCAAUGGGCGAAAGCCUGACCCAGCAACGCCGCGUGAGGGAUGAAGUAUUUCGGUAUGUAAACCUCGAAAGAAUGGGAAGAAUAAAUGACGGUACCAUUUAUAAGCUCCGGCUAACUACGUGCCAGCAGCCGCGGUAAUACGUAGGGAGCAAGCGUUGUUCGGAUUUACUGGGUGUAAAGGGUGCGCAGGCGGAUGGGUAAGUCAGGGGUGAAAGUCUGCAGCUUAACUGUAGAAUUGCCUUUGAUACUGCUCAUCUUGAGUGUGGGAGAGGUUGAUGGAAUUCCAGGUGUAGCAGUGAAAUGCGUAGAUAUCUGGAAGAACACCAGUGGCGAAGGCGGUCAACUGGCCCAUAACUGACGCUCAUGCACGAAAGCGUGGGGAGCAAACA
rnacentral:rRNA from 1 species